UACGGAGGGUGCGAGCGUUGUUCGGAAUUAUUGGGCGUAAAGAGCUCGUAGGCGGUCUGUCGCGUCGGUCGUGAAAACUUGGGGCUUAACCCUGAGCUUGCGGUCGAUACGGGCAUGACUGGAGUUCGGCAGGGGAGACUGGAAUUCCUGGUGUAGCGGUGAAAUGCGCAGAUGUCAGGAGGAACACCGGUGGCGAAGGCGGGUCUCUGGGCCGAUACUGACGCUGAGGAGCGAAAGCGUGGGGAGCGAACAGG
rnacentral:rRNA from 1 species